rnacentral:rRNA from 1 species
CCUACGGGUGGCAGCAGUGGGGAAUUUUGCGCAAUGGGGGCAACCCUGACGCAGCAACGCCGCGUGAGUGAUGAAGGCCUUCGGGUCGUAAAGCUCUGUCAGAGGGGAAGAAAUGCAGGUGGUGAACAACCAUUCUGUUUGACGGUACCCUCAAAGGAAGCACCGGCUAACUCCGUGCCAGCAGCCGCGGUAAUACGGAGGGUGCGAGCGUUGUUCGGAAUCAUUGGGCGUAAAGGGCGCGUAGGCGGUUCGGUAAGUCGGGUGUGAAAGCCCCGGGCUCAACCCGGGAAGUGCAUCCGAAACUGCCGGACUGGAGUACGGGAGGGGGAAGUGGAAUUCCUGGUGUAGGGGUGAAAUCCGUAGAUAUCAGGAGGAACACCGGUGGCGAGGGCG